UUUGAACGUCAGUUUGCAGUCGAUUGUGGAGGAUUGCUCUCCACCGGAAUCACCGCCGACAUCCUCAGAUGUAGGAUUUUUUAUUGAGGAGUCCGAUGACGACAACAAUGAGAACGAGGAGCUACGUUUUGAACAAGGAAUCACCCCAUAUUCAUUUGAACCACUGCCUCCCGCGAACCAUGAGAGUGACCGAGAUGAGGCGACUGAUGGUCGAGUUCACCCUCGAGAGCAUCUCGACGUUUCCGAGUGGUUAUGGACAAAUGUUCUGAAGCUCACCCCCAACCUGAAUGCAUGACUCAACAUCCUGGGUUUGAAGCAGUCUGUCUCAAUCCAUGGGUUCUGCAAGUUGAGUAUGCCUCCAUGCUGCAGUAUUAUGGUGAAUAUGACCAAGAAGAUUUUACAGAAGAGGAACGAUACCGUCACACUGCCUACAGGACAUUUGUGAGAUGGUGCUGGGGCUACUUGGGGAAAUGUGUCCGUGUUGUUAUCC